GAACGAGAAAGUGGAGCAAUCCAUGAGUACAGUGGCGACCGGGUGAGUAACACGUGACUAACCUACCCUCGAGUGGGGAAUAACUCCGGGAAACCGGGGCUAAUACCGCAUAACAUCGCAAGAUCAAAGCAGCAAUGCGCUUGAGGAGGGGGUCGCGGCUGAUUAGCUAGUUGGCGGGGUAACGGCCCACCAAGGCGAAGAUCGGUAUCCGGCCUGAGAGGGCGCACGGACACACUGGAACUGAAACACGGUCCAGACUCCUACGGGAGGCAGCAGUGGGGAAUUUUGCGCAAUGGGGGAAACCCUGACGCAGCAACGCCGCGUGGAGGAUGAAGCCCUUUGGGGCGUAAACUCCUUUCGACCAAGACGAUAAUGACGGUACUGGUGGAAGAAGCACCGGCUAACUCUGUG
rnacentral:rRNA from 1 species